AGCAGCCGCGGUAAUUCCAGCUCCAAUAGCGUAUAUUAAAGUUGUUGCAGUUAAAAAGCUCGUAGUUGAAUUUCGGGGUUAGUAGGUUGGUCAUGCCUCUGGUAUGUACUGGUCUCACUGAUUCCUCCUUCCUGAUGAGCCGUAAUGCCAUUAAUUUGGUGUUGCGGGGAAUUUGGACUGUUACUUUGAAAAAUUAGAGUGUUUAAAGCAAGCUAACGCUUGAAUACAUUAGCAUGGAAUAAUGAAAUAGGACGUUUGAUUCUAUUUUGUUGGUUUCUAGGAUCGACGUAAUGAUUAAUAGGGAUAGUUGGGGGCAUUAGUAUUCAAUUGUCAGAGGUGAAAUUCUUGGAUUUAUUGAAGACUAACUACUGCGAAAGCAUUUGCCAAGGAUGUUUUCAUUAAUCAAGAACGAAAGUUAGGGGAUCGAAGACGAUCAGAUACCGUCGUAGUCUUAACCAUAAACUAUGCCGACUAGGGAUCGGAUGAUGUUAAUUUUUAAUGACUCAUUCGGCUCCG
rnacentral:rRNA from 1 species